UAUACUGGUGCACUGGGCACUUCUCUGCAGUUUUAAUGGGUGUUUUCGAAUUUUACUCUCAGGGUAAAACAACCACCUGUCUGUUUUAGUCAGCACUAUAAAUCUGCAGGGUGAAAACACUGUUUUUUUGUUAGCAGAACGCAACAAUGCUUUUACAGCCCUGGAGUUUCAGUUUGUCAUUUCUAUACACCUGUACAUGACUUCAUGUCUGGUGUGAAGGAUCGUCACCGUUGCCCCACCUUUCUGUACUUUUGUGAAGCAGAGUGCCUGAGACCGGGAGGCUGAGCGUGGGCUCCGCUAAGUGCUGCGGGGACGUAGGAAAGUGAAGUGACAGCGGAGGAAACUUACAUCAAUAAACAGCCAAGAGGAGAACCCGAGACGGCAUACAUUCAUCAGAGACACGCGCAUCAGGGAACAAAAAAUAUUAUUUUAACUUCUAACUUCCUAUUGGUGAUACUCUGCCCUAAGUAGCAGAGGGCAGGAGACUGGAGGACACCCCAGCCAAACGGAGAGGAACAUACAUGUACACUGUCACUCACGGACGAAUUCAAGAGGCCAGUCAGCAUGACCUCAGGAGGAACCCCACAGCCUGCACCAAGUGGGAGUCAAAGCCACAGCGCUGGAGGUGUGAGGCUAUAUGGCUGCCUACUGAGCCACUGUGCCACCCUCUCCUUUUUAUGUCAUUCUUAAUUUGACUGGCCAAAUCCAAUUAAGUUAACUGAAUUUGCACUAAAACCUCUUAAAUCUGAUUUUUGUAUACUUAGCUUGUUAAAGGUAUAGGACAAACACUAUGUAUACAAGUACAGACAGCAGACAACGUGUAUAGGGAAAGAAGUGGUUAAACACAAAGAGAAAGGGUCCAGAGAUUAAACUUUUGUGGAUA